GACUACACGAAGCCGGAAUCGCUAGUAAUCGCGAACCAGAAUGUCGCGGUGAAUACGUUCCCGGGUCUUGUACACACCGCCCGUCACACCAUGGGAGUUGGAAAUGCCCGAAGUCAGUGACCCAACCACAACGUGAACAAGUUCACGUGGAGGGAGCUGCCGAAGGCAGGUCUGAUAACUGGGGUGAAGUCGUAACAAGGUACC
rnacentral:rRNA from 1 species